rnacentral:rRNA from 1 species
UACGUAGGGGGCAAGCGUUGUCCGGAUUUAUUGGGCGUAAAGAGCUCGUAGGCGGUUGGGCAAGUCACGUGUGAAAUCUCCACGCUCAACGUGGAGGCGCCACGUGAGACUGCCCUGACUCGAGUCCGGUAGGGGAGCGUGGAAUUCCCGGUGUAGCGGUGAAAUGCGCAGAGAUCGGGAGGAACACCAGUGGCGAAGGCGACUACCUGGCCUGUUCUUGACGCUGAGGCGCGAAAGCUAGGGGAGCAAACGGG